rnacentral:lncRNA from 1 species
CAGGAGAGGAGAAGGGGUUGGGGCAGACCCACACUGGAAAAGCCAUGGCAUCAUGUGCGGCCGGACCCCUCAGCUGGUUCCCCCCCAGCCCACCCCGUGAGCCCGCGGUGUGAAUUUCCCUGCCCCGGUGCUGGCUGGGUGAGCUGCCCACAGCACUGCGCAGCCGCCGCUCUUUGUCUCCCUCUGAAGCGGAUCCCGGUUGGAUUAAAUAUCCCAGGCACUAGGACACAGGGAAUCACUCCUGCUCUGAAUGCUGCUGCUGGCUCUCCUUCUUUCACCAUGCAGCCCAUGAACAUGGACUUGUCCAGCAAGGGCUGGGCAGGAGUGACUAACAAAGAAACACCAAUGCAUGAGGGAUGUUGUGGCUCUUGCUGGCCCCAGGUGUGUGUGAAUCUCACCCUAACACACAGCCUUUGAAACACACUACAAAAAUUAAGGACAAGCUACCUCUCGCAGCACCUGGAAGUGUUGCCUUCAGUCCCUGUUCACAGAAGGAAAACGGCAGAGAUUUGGGAGAACAAGUGCAGGAUUUGUAGCAUCACAUCUGCCUCUUCUUCACCCAGAGCAGAGCAGAGGCAGUGAGGGGACAGGGGGCAGGAAUCUCAGGGGAGAGAGCAGCUGGAUGGUGCAGUCAAUUUUGAGUCUGUUCGCUACCUGUGAGCCUUGGAAAAAAUCACAUAUUGCCACUUUGAAGUUUUUUUAUGGAAUGAAACCAGUGGGACACCAGGGUGCCCAGAUAAUUCACCUGGGGGAUGCGCUCUCACUCUGCUUCCCUUGGAGCUUUGUGCAGGUGUGUGCACAGGUCAUGGGCAGCAUCUAGAGCUGCUGGGUUAAGACAGAGUAGCUCCUCUGUUCCUUAUCUCAGGCCAGCCACAUCGUGACUGAGGCUGGAGGAAUCACUGGGACAGGUUAACUGUGAAUGCCCCAAGCAUUUCUUUUGCAACACUUCUCGUGUCUCUCAACUCACACACAGUUUUUUUGAGGCAAGAAAGGCUUCAGGAUCUCCUCCAACAUGAGCAUGAAGCCACUGUCAGAGCAACAG